rnacentral:lncRNA from 1 species
GUUGCUUUAUGCCUUCUGGGAGACUUUUUAAUUUUCUCUUAUUAGAAGGAAGUGGUAAAUUUGUUUUGCCUGAGGGGUUAAUUUUCCAUAGCUGGGCAUAUAUGUAAUAGUAUGGUUACCACAUAUUUAGAUGUGAUGACAUAAUGAUGAAAAGAAACAUUUGAACUUUAAAAAAAUUUUUUUUGUCUUUUUAGGGUCGCAUCUGCAGCAUAUGAAGGUUCCCAGGCUAGGGGUCCAAUUGGAGCUGUAGCCACCGGCCUACACCAGAGCCACAGCAACUCGGGAUCAGAGCUGCGUCUGCAACCUACACCACAGCUCACGGCAACGCCGGAUCGUUAACCCACUGAGCAAGGGCAGGGACCGAACCCGCAACCUCAUGGUUCCUAGUCGGAUUUGUUAACCACUGCCCCGUGACGGGAACUCCAUUCUUUUUCCUUUUUGGCUAUGCUUGCAGCAUGUGAAAGUUCCCAGGCCAGGGAUUGAACCUGCACUGCAUCAAUGACUUUAGCCACAGCAGUGACAAUGCAGGUCUUUAACCCACUGAGCCACAGAGGAACUCUUCUUUUUGCAUUUCUGUGUGUCUGCUUAGCAUUUUGCACUUCCACAUUUGCCUGAAUUCCAUGCUGCUGUUUGUCCAGGUCCCACCUAUCCAUCCUUCCGCUUAUCCAUCCAGUCAUCCAUCUAAUCCUCUAUCCCCUGGCCAUUCUUACCUACCCCUCCCAUUUAUCUGUCUUUCCCUUCAUUGCUCAUCUUUACCCAUCUGUUCAUACAAAAUGAAUGGAGACUAUUUUGAUGGAAGCAUAUGCAUUUUUUGGUUGCAUUUUACAAAGGUGAUCAUAGGAACCAAGGACAUGAGAACCAGAAAGUGAAAAUGACUAGAAUGCGACCAUUUUUGUUUCACCUUGAAGUUGGGAGGAUGUUCAAAACUGACUUGAUUACCUAUUCUGUAAUGCUCAUCAGAAUGUUCUUAGUAUACUGCAUUUUGGGGAAUGUUGUUUCAACUAAUAUUUUUGCUAGAAAUCAGUCACCAGUAAUAGACUAAAUGGGAGCUUUUGAGUAGUAAAUUCAGAGGGAAAAAUAAUUUUCUUGAGUUUGAACUAAGAAAGGCAAAGAUGUACAAAUGACAUCUUUCUGAAUUUAUUGACUUAAACAUAUAUUGUGGAGUUUCCCUCGUGGCUCAGUGGGUUAAGAACCUGAGUUAGUGUCCAUGAGGAUGCAUGGUUGAUCCCUGGCCAUGCUGAGGGGGUUAUGGAUCCAGUGUUGCUGUAGUGUAGGUUGCAGAUGUGGCUUGGAUCCAAUGUUGCCAUAGCUGUGGUGUAGGCCUGCAGCUGCAGCUCCUAUUCAGCCGACCCCUAGCCCAGGAACUUCCAUACGCCAAAGGUGUGGCCCUAAAAAGAAAAAAAAAAAA